AUGAGUUGCUUGAGCUGGAACUGCCACGGGCUUGGGAACACGGAGGCAGUUCGUGAGCUUCGCAACAUAGUGAAGCAAGAAGUGCCCAGUCUCCUAUUUCUGUUGGAGACAAAGAUUUCGGCAAAGCGAGUGGAAAGUCUGCUGAAUCUGUUGGGUUUUGCGGGUUGUUUUGCAGUGAACAACAAUGGGCUAAGUGGUGGAAUCAAUAUGUUUUGGUCAGCUGAUGUUGAGGUGGAACUAAAAAAUUAUAGCUCAGCACAUAUCGAUGUGACGGUUAAGUAUAAGGCUCGAAACUCGUCUGAGUGGAGAGUGACUGGGUUUUAUGGAGGUCCAAGGGUAGAAGAUAGACGCCAAUGA
rnacentral:rRNA from 1 species